UACAAUUGCUGCCACAUAAAUUCUUAUACUGCAUAUUGCAUAUAGUGAUCACCUUAGGUUAAAUUAACCCCAAUAUGAAAGUACAAUUUAAUCUAUGUAACCAGAGGUCCUGCUUAUCAGGCAUACUACCAGAGCAAAGAAACAAAGACAAUUCUCACAACUUUCACUAAAGACCGGCUUUACUAUUGUUAUUCUUGAUCAGCCUGCUUUGGACACUUCAGAACAACUCCCACAUGCACUUUGCAACUUUUCAUGCCCACCAACUUCAUGAGUAUUCAAAAAAUUUGAAUCCCUAGCUGCUAAUCAUCUCAUCCCUGGUGAAACCAGUUUCCUCAGCAACCACCUAUUAAUCUUAAAUUUCAUCCUAUGUAACUAUACACUAUUAUCAUAUCCCACUAUGGCUGUCUAUGAAAUUCCUCAUUUGUUUCUUUAGUUAAGUAAUUCCAAGCCAGUAGAGCUGCCCCAACUGCAGGAUCAACCUAGAUAAUCAUGAGUUCCAUCAGCAGUAAGAAUCAUCAGUAUCUUACGAAUGUACUCUUCAAGGUAAAAACUUGAAUAUACAAAAAAGUAACUAAAAAAACACAUAACCGAUCUUUCUUGUUUUCUUCCAAAAAGAAAGAAGAUGAGUUCUUUCUUUUUUGAUCACUUAGGACCCGUGUGAGAAGAAAAUCCAGCAUUUAUAUAUAAGUAUACAGUGAGAGAGUAUAGAAAUAUACAGAGAAAGAGCCUAUCACUUGCUAGACCAUUCUUUUUCUAGAUAGCUAACACCAUGGGCCAUGGUAGUUCCCUAAGCCUGGAGUAACAUGCAUAACAGUAUAAGCUUAAGGACUCCAUCCAAUUAUCCAAUUAUAACUGAUCAAUUAUAUAGAUCAAAUGUAGAAAAACUUUAUUACUGAUUUAUCAUGACAGAUCAACACCACCAAAGCAAUCAGGAGACUAUUUAAUUAUAAAUCAAAAUCCAUAUUCAACAUUUGUAAUACAACUUUACUCACAAUAAUCAAAAUCCAUAGAUCUGAAUUGUUGAAAUAAAACUUUACUCACAAUAAUAAUCAAGAAAAAGAUGAAUAAAACUUAAAAUCAAACAAAAUAAUGAUAAGGGUAACUAAAAUUACAAAUGCAUCACUUAACUUUGAGCUGACUAAAUUAAAAAGUCAUGAUUAUAUUGAACUAUGCAUCAGAAAAUAAGAACACGUGAUCUAUAAAUACCUGAUGCCUGGCUUGAACCUAUGAAUCCCUUCUGUGUAAUUCCAGUUGGACUUUGAGUCCCGAGCCUGUCUUGAAAACCUGUUAUGUCUUAAGAGUAAACAUGGAUAAUAAGAUUUACAAACCAUCAAAGUUAUAGUUCUUUAAAUUUAAAAUGAACUACUAUAUCAUCUCCUCAUCAAAUACAUGGCUGGUGAAAAAAAUAGAUAAUAACUUGAUGCAGUCCUCGACUACAAAAUGAAACGAUGCGAGACAAAUGUUAGGCCAAUAGCAGCUUCUACUAUCAUCACUGUUUCAGAAUUCAGUGUCCUGCAUAAUUUAACUAUCCGUCUCUACAUAAUAUGUUCUGCAUUUUAUUUUCUUUUUCUUUUCAUUUCUUCCAAGCUGACCAUAAUACUUCACAACACAGGGCACGAGAAGCAUGCAACCAAAAUAGAAGGUCAAUUCUAAAAUCUGGAAAUACAUCAUUAAGUAACGCAAUAUGUGUAGAUAAUUCAUAAAUAUAUUUGCACUUUCUGUAAAUUCAAAGAUUAGGACUAACACAAUCAAUUCUGAUGACCAUUUUAUAUGCAUAAAAUGGUACUAAUUCAAUAGCAGGUCACAGGCCCUUUUAGUCCUCCUAGCUGUUGAUUUUAACUUGAGUCCAGUAUAAAAUUUUUACAUUUAAAGCUGCAAUUGAAAAAGAAUAAAAUGUGACUUCCGAUUCUCUGAAUAAGAGUUUAUGGUUUAGGCUUACAAAAUAUUUUACAUUUGCAGGCCUAAAUUUGAAGAGUAUAGUGCCAGCUACAAAUAUAUGAUCUACUGUUUUCAAGGAUCUAAGUUAAUCACUAAACAAAGAAAUAAACUAACUAAUUUGAAUCAUGAUGAUUUGAUACUUGGUAAUAAAUUGAUGGUUAAUGUUUGCUGCUAAAACUGCCGAUACAAAACUAUUGACAAAAUAGGGUGAAAAUAUCACAAUCAAACACAUAAAAGCCAUAAUUUGGAGAGUUUUAGCAUCAAAAAAGAACAUUACUUGGUGUUGGAGUUGAUACUUUAGAUAGAUCAACGCCAUGUAGCCGUCUCUGUGAUGGCGUCAAAAAAUCAUGACUACAACCAACAGUGGUAGUGCCUGAGCAGAAAAUUGUUAAUCAUAAAUUAAGAUUAAAAACUAUAUCGCAAAAGUUAUAGUUUGUGUGAAAAAGAAUUCUAAAGUUAAAAAGUAAUCUAUUCUAAUGAGUCGUGGACAUGAUUCUUACUCCAAUUUUCUGUCCAAUUUGGUAAUUCAGUUUCUUCUUUCAGAUCUUUAAAUAACUACUCUUGGUGCUGCUAAAUAUUUGUUAUUUUCUCAGUCUGAAUUGAACUUUUUAGGAUGCCUUUCUCAUCCUAAUCUUGUGAAACUGGUUGCAUACUGCUGGGAGGACAAAGAGCUACUUCUUAUCUAUGAAUUUAUGCAAGAAGGGAGCUUGGAGAACCACUUUGCUAUUAUCAAAUCUACUCAAGAAAGAAACUAAAUUCUUGAAACGAAGUUGAUUGCCUAAUGCUNCUCAAGAAAGAAACUAAAUUGUUGAAACGAAGUUGAUUGCCUAAUGCGGUACAACAAAGACAGGGAAACUAACCUGAAGGUCCGCUUGAAACCGGUCCCGUAUUUGGAUCAUUGCUUUCAGUCGAUUGAGGAACAUCAUUUAGAGGCAGAAAACUAUUAGACAUAGAAGAGGAGUUCGGCAUGUGACAACUCUUUCGUCCUGAAACGGUGAGGAUUUAUUAUGCUCCAACGUUUAUUCACGAAAACAACAACGAAGAAGAAGACAGAGGACCCAAAGGUGCACGCUUACUACCUGUUCGUGAUUAAGCCGGAUAAUACAUUCAACAUUACAGAAGAAUUAAACAUUAACGAAGAAGAAACAGACACAAUACACACCUUUUUGCUCCAUUGAAUGCUAGGAGGACAGCGAGGGUGAAAUUUGAAUUUUAAAUGAAGAAGAAAGAGUGUGAAACAUGGUUAAAUUUUCAAUCCAUCUUAUAUGAUGUGAACACGC
rnacentral:lncRNA from 1 species